GAUGAAGAACGUAGCGAAAUGUGAUAAGUAGUGUGAAUUGCAGAAUUCAGUGAAUCAUCGAAUCUUUGAACGCACAUUGCGCCCCUUGGUAUUCCAUGGGGCAUGCCUGUUCGAGCGUCAUUUGUACCUUCAAGCCUUGCUUGGUGUUGGGUGUUUGUCUCGCCUCUGCGCGCAGACUCGCCUCAAAACAAUUGGCAGCCGGCGUAUUGAUUUCGGAGCGCAGUACAUCUCGCGCUUUGCACUCAGAACGACGACGUCCAAAAGUACAUUUUUACACUCUUGACCUCGGAUCAGGCAGGGAUACCCGCUGAACUUAAGCAUAUCAAUAAGCGGAGGA
rnacentral:misc_RNA from 1 species